rnacentral:rRNA from 1 species
CACGUAGGAGGCAAACGUUAUCCGGAUUUACUGGGCGUAAAGCGCGUGUAGGUGGUUCUGUAAGUAGGGCGUGAAAGCUCCCGGCUCAACUGGGAGAGGCCGUUCUAAACUGCAGAGCUAGAGGAUGGUAGAGGGAGGUGGAAUUCCAGGUGUAGCGGUGGAAUGCGCAGAUAUCUGGAGGAACACCAGUGGCGAAGGCGGCCUCCUGGACCAUUCCUGACACUCAGACGCGAAAGCUAGGGUAGCAAACGGGAUUAGAUACCCCCGUAGUCCCU